AUCGGUGAUCACGCAAAACCCUAGCGGAGCCCCCAAAUUCCCCAAAUUGUAAUUGGGCGCCCAAAUUGGCGUUUAGGGUUUCGCUGGUCGACAUAUAAGAGAUUUAUUUGAGCUAGAACUAUACCUGUUGAGCUAUGUUGGAGAUAGGUCGAAAGUUCAUUGCACUUGAUUUUCAAGAGGAGAAUAACAUGCCAGAGGCAAAUUUGUGUUGAAGAAUUAAGCAGAUUUUUUGCGUGUGCUUGUGUUUGCGUGCAUGCAUUGGUGUGAAUGUUUGUAUGUUUGUGUCAGAUACAAUCUAAUUGUACAGUAAAAUGCUUGUUAGUUUUUUGUGCUUGAGAAAAGGUCACCACUAUCAUACUAACAUGAUCAUUAGAAUUGAAGUACAUUUAGGGCCUGCUUAGCCAAUCUUUUGAAGAAGUGGUUUUUAUAUAAUUAAUUUUGAUUUGGAGAAGUGAUUUCUGAAAGUUAAUAGAGUGUUUGGUUGAGUUUGAUAGAAAGUAAUUUUUUGGAAGCUAUUCUGUAAGGUUGUUUGAUAGUUUUCUUUUGCUGAAGUGAAUUUUCUUUUGUGGCG